GAUGAAGAAGUAGCGAAAUGCGAUAAGUAAUGUGAAUUGCAGAAUUCAGUGAAUCAUCGAAUCUUUGAACGCACCUUGCGCCCUUUGGCCAUUCCGAAGGGCAUGCCUGUUUGAGUAUCAUGAACACCUCAACUCUUUAUGGUUUUCCAUGAUGAGCUUGGACUCUGGGGGUUUUGCUGGCUCACAGUCGGCUCCUCUAAAAUGAAUCAGCUUACCAGUGUUUGGUGGGUAUCAUGGGUGUGAUAACUAUCUACGCUUGUGGUUUUUCCACCAGGUAACCUUCAGCAGUGGAGGUUCGCUGGAGCUCAUAGAUGUCUCUCCUCAGUGAGGACAGCCCUUUGAAUGUUUGAUCUCAAAUCAGGUAGGACUACCCGCUGAACUUAAGCAUAUCAAUAAGCGGAGGA
rnacentral:misc_RNA from 1 species